rnacentral:tRNA from 3 species
GGGGACGUGGCGAAAUUGGUAACCGCAGCGCACUCAAAAUGCGCCGACCUCGGUCAUGUCGGUUCGAGUCCGACCGUCCCUA